AGAUCAAUGUGGUGACACAGCGGGGUUUUGUUCUAGUAGAUGAGCGUAUCCUGCCAGUGCACAAGGGAUUUUUGUUGUUGAACAAGUCAGUGGAAAAGAUCACGUGCUCAACCAUUUGGGCAUUCCAGCAGCUUGUUUCACUCACCCAGAAAUUAGUAUGGUUGGACUCACAGAGGUGAAUAUCAAAUUUUCCAAUUCCCAUACCAAACCCACAAAUAGAAUAAAAUAAAUAAAAAGGGAUGUGUGCAUUUUUAUUCUCUCUUUUGUUCUUAUUGGGUAGUGAAAUAAAAAAGUUUACCCAUCAUAUUCUUGUAAUUUACCUCUAGUUGACUAACAUCUAAAAUUUUGCAGCCUCAAGAGAAAGAGAGGGCUGAAAUAGAGGGGUUUGAAAUAAGUGUUGCCAAGACAAGUUUUAAGGCUAACACAAAGGCUCUAGCAGAAAAUGAAGGGGAGGGACUGGCUAAGCAGUGGGUUGUUCAAGCAUUAAAUGUAGAUACUGGUGCUAAUCAUUCUGCAGAAGGUGUUAAGUAGCAACCUGCUUUUGACAAGAAGCAGUUUGUGGCGUUUGUGAAGAAGUACAUUAAGCCACUCUCCGCCACCUCUGGAGGGAGCAUUGGGUUGAUGGGUCUAAUCUCCCAAGCUGUCUAUGAUGGUGGCCGCCACGUCUUAGGAGUGAUUCCAAAAACUCUUAUGCCCAGAGAG